GGGGAAUUUUGGACAAUGGGCGGAAGCCUGAUCCAGCCAUGCCGCGUGAGUGAAGAAGGCCUUCGGGUUGUAAAGCUCUUUCGGUGGGGAAGAAAUUGCACGGGCUAAUAUCCUGUGUAGAUGACGGUACCCGACUAAGAAGCACCGGCUAACUACGCGCCAGCAGCCGCGGUAAUACGUAGGGUGCGAGCGUUAAUCGGAAUUACUGGGCGUAAAGCGUGCGCAGGCGGUUUGGUAAGUCAGAUGUGAAAGCCCCGGGCUCAACCUGGGAACUGCAUUUGAGACUGCCAGGCUGGAGUGUGGCAGAGGGGGGUGGAAUUCCACGUGUAGCAGUGAAAUGCGUAGAGAUGUGGAGGAACACCGAUGGCGAAGGCAGCCCCCUGGGUCACUACUGACGCUCAUGCACGAAAGCGUGGGGAGCAAAC
rnacentral:rRNA from 1 species